UACGGAGGGUGCGAGCGUUGUCCGGAAUCAUUGGGCGUAAAGGGCGCGCAGGCGGUCCUGUUUGUCGAGUGUGAAAGCCCCGGGCUCAACCUGGGAACUGCGCUCGAAACGGCGGGACUAGAGUUCGGGAGAGGAGAGUGGAAUUCCCAGUGUAGAGGUGGAAAUUCGUAGAUAUUGGGAAGAAUCACCGGUGGCGAAGGCGGCUACUCGUGGACCGAUACUGACGCGUGACGGC
rnacentral:rRNA from 1 species